AUUGAACGCUGGCGGCAUGCCUUACACAUGCAAGUCGAACGGCAGCACGGGAGCAAUCCUGGUGGCGAGUGGCGAACGGGUGAGUAAUAUAUCGGAACGUGCCCAGUCGUGGGGAUAACGUAGCGAAAGCUACGCUAAUACCGCAUACGAUCUAUGGAUGAAAGCGGGGGAUCGCAAGACCUCGCGCGAUUGGAGCGGCCGAUAUCAGAUUAGGUAGUUGGUGAGGUAAAGGCUCGCCAAGCCGACGAUCUGUAGCUGGUCUGAGAGGACGACCAGCCACACUGGGACUGAGACACGGCCCAGACUCCUACGGAGGCAGCAGUGGGGAAUUUUGGACAAUGGGCGCAAGCCUGAUCCAGCAAUGCCGCGUGCAGGAUGAA
rnacentral:rRNA from 1 species